ACCAAGAUAGUUCAAUAGGUUAGAACGUUUAUUUCAUGCAUAAAAGGUUGAGAAUUCGAAUUUCUCUCUUGGUU
rnacentral:tRNA from 1 species